GACGAACGCUGGCGGCGUGCCUAAUACAUGCAAGUAGGACGCACAGUUUAUACCGUAGCUUGCUACACCAUAGACUGUGAGUUGCGAACGGGUGAGUAACGCGUAGGUAACCUGCCUAUUAGAGGGGGAUAACUAUUGGAAACGAUAGCUAAUACCGCAUAACAGUAUGUAACACAUGUUAGAUGCUUGAAAGAUGCAAUUGCAUCGCUAGUAGAUGGACCUGCGUUGUAUUAGCUAGUAGGUAGGGUAAUGGCCUACCUAGGCGACGAUACAUAGCCGACCUGAGAGGGUGAUCGGCCACACUGGGACUGAGACACGGCCCAGACUCCUACGGGAGGCAGCAGUAGGGAAUCUUCGGCAAUGGGGGGAACCCUGACCGAGCAACGCCGCGUGAGUGAAGAAGGUUUUCGGAUCGUAAAGCUCUGUUGUUAAGGAAGAACGAGUGUGAAAAUGGAAAGUUCAUACUGUGACGGUACUUAACCAGAAAGGGACGGCUAACUACGUGCCAGCAGCCGCGGUAAUACGUAGGUCCCGAGCGUUGUCCGGAUUUAUUGGGCGUAAAGCGAGCGCAGGCGGUUAGAAAAGUCUGAAGUGAAAGGCAGUGGCUCAACCAUUGUAGACUUUGGAAACUGUUUAACUUGAGUGCAGAAGGGGAGAGUGGAAUUCCAUGUGUAGCGGUGAAAUGCGUAGAUAUAUGGAGGAACACCGGUGGCGAAAGCGGCUCUCUGGUCUGUAACUGACGCUGAGGCUCGAAAGCGUGGGGAGCGAACAGG
rnacentral:rRNA from 1 species